ACAAGUUUUGGAGGAUGGUAAUUGUGAAGUGGCCAUAGCGCGAGUGUUAACGAGCGUUGGCAGCUGUAUGCAAAUGAUGUAGUCUACACACAACAACAAUCAAAUA
rnacentral:misc_RNA from 1 species